rnacentral:tRNA from 1 species
GCCGGAAUGGCGGAAUAGGUAGACGCCCGGGACUUAAAAUCCCGUGAUACAGUGUAUCGUACGGGUUCGAUUCCCGUUUCCGGCA